AUUGAACGCUGGCGGCAGGCUUAACACAUGCAAGUCGAGCGGGGAAAGGUAGCUUGCUACCUGACCUAGCGGCGGACGGGUGAGUAAUGCUUAGGAAUCUGCCUAUUAGUGGGGGACAACAUCUCGAAAGGGAUGCUAAUACCGCAUACGUCCUACGGGAGAAAGCAGGGGACCUUCGGGCCUUGCGCUAAUAGAUGAGCCUAAGUCGGAUUAGCUAGUUGGUGGGGUAAAGGCCUACCAAGGCGACGAUCUGUAGCGGGUCUGAGAGGAUGAUCCGCCACACUGGGACUGAGACACGGCCCAGACUCCUACGGGAGGCAGCAGUGGGGAAUAUUGGACAAUGGGGGGAACCCUGAUCCAGCCAUGCCGCGUGUGUGAAGAAGGCCUUUUGGUUGUAAAGCACGUUAAGCGAGGAGGAGGCUACCGAGAUUAAUACUCUUGGAUAGUGGACGUUACUCGCAGAAUAAGCACCGGCUAACUCGGUG
rnacentral:rRNA from 1 species